rnacentral:rRNA from 1 species
UGGGGAAUAUUGCACAAUGGGCGCAAGCCUGAUGCAGCAACGCCGCGUGAGGGACGACGGCCUUCGGGUUGUAAACCUCUUUUAGUAGGGAAGAAGCGAAAGUGACGGUACCUGCAGAAAAACGCACCGGCUAACUACGUGCCAGCAGCCGCGGUAAUACGUAGGGUGCGAGCGUUGUCCGGAAUUAUUGGGCGUAAAGAGCUCGUAGGCGGUCUGUCGCGUCUGCUGUGAAAAUCCCGAGGCUCAACCUCGGGCCUGCAGUGGGUACGGGCAGACUAGAGUGCGGUAGGGGAGAAUGGAAUUCCUGGUGUAGCGGUGGAAUGCGCAGAUAUCAGGAGGAACACCGAUGGCGAAGGCAGUUCUCUGGGCCGUAACUGACGCUGAGGAGCGAAAGCGUGGGGAGCGAACAGGAUUAGAUACCCUGGUAGUCCACGCCGUAAACGUUGGGCGCUAGAUGUGGGGCACCAUUCCACGGUUUCCGUGUCGCAGCUAACGCAUUAAGCGCCCCGCCUGGGGCAGUACGGCCGCAAGGCUAAAACUCAAAGGAAUUGACGGGGUCAUAGCUG